rnacentral:rRNA from 1 species
GAUGAACGCUGGCGGCGUGCCUAAUACAUGCAAGUCGAGCGAACGGACGAGAAGCUUGCUUCUCUGAUGUUAGCGGCGGACGGGUGAGUAACACGUGGAUAACCUACCUAUAAGACUGGGAUAACUUCGGGAAACCGGAGCUAAUACCGGAUAAUAUUUUGAACCGCAUGGUUCAAAAGUGAAAGACGGUCUUGCUGUCACUUAUAGAUGGAUCCGCGCUGCAUUAGCUAGUUGGUAAGGUAACGGCUUACCAAGGCAACGAUGCAUAGCCGACCUGAGAGGGUGACCGGCCACACUGGAACUGAGACACGGUCCAGACUCCUACGGGAGGCAGCAGUAGGGAAUCUUCCGCAAUGGGCGAAAGCCUGACGGAGCAACGCCGCGUGAGUGAUGAAGGUCUUCGGAUCGUAAAACUCUGUUAUUAGGAAAGAACAUAUGUGUAAGUAACUGUGCACAUCUUGACGGUACCUAAUCAGAAAGCCACGGCUAACUACGUG